UUGCUAGCUGAUUGUAUAUAUAUGCUGGCCGUAUUUCAUAGCAAGCUCGCUUUUAAUAGGCAACCAGUAAUAUGAGCAAUUCUUUACCUACAAGCCUAUAAUUAUAUUAACUCUAAGAGAAAUCUAAUAAUAAACGGAGUGAAUUGAAAUAUCUUAUUAACUUCAGGAAAAGAAAUCAAAAGAGAUUCUAUGAUUAGCGUGAGCUAA
rnacentral:rRNA from 2 species